rnacentral:rRNA from 1 species
GAUCAUGGCUCAGGAUGAACGCUAAGCGGCAGGCCUAACACAUGCAAGUCGAGGGGUAGAGUUCUUCGGGACUUGAGACCGGCGCACGGGUGCGUAACGCGUAUGCAAUCUACCUUAUACAGGGGAAUAGCCCAGAGAAAUUUGGAUUAAUGCCCCAUAGUGUUAUCGAAUCGCAUGGUUUGAUAACUAAAGUUCCAACGGUAUAAGAUGAGCAUGCGUCCCAUUAGUUAGUUGGUAAGGUAACGGCUUACCAAGACAAUGAUGGGUAGGGGUCCUGAGAGGGAGAUCCCCCACACUGGUACUGAGACACGGACCAGACUCCUACGGGAGGCAGCAGUGAGGAAUAUUGGUCAAUGGGCGCAAGCCUGAACCAGCCAUGCCGCGUGCAGGAAGACGGUCCUAUGGAUUGUAAACUGCUUUUAUACAGGAAGAAACCCUCCCACGUGUGGGAGCUUGACGGUACUGUAGGAAUAAGGAUCGGCUAACUCCGUG